UGGGGAAUUUUGGACAAUGGGCGAAAGCCUGAUCCAGCAAUGCCGCGUGUGAAGAAGGCCUUCGGGUUGUAAAGCACUUUUGUCCGGAAAGAAAUCCUUGGCUCUAAUACAGUCGGGGGAUGACGGUACCGGAAGAAUAAGCACCGGCUAACUACGUGCCAGCAGCCGCGGUAAUACGUAGGGUGCAAGCGUUAAUCGGAAUUACUGGGCGUAAAGCGUGCGCAGGCGGUUUGCUAAGACCGAUGUGAAAUCCCCGGGCUCAACCUGGGAACUGCAUUGGUGACUGGCAGGCUAGAGUAUGGCAGAGGGGGGUAGAAUUCCACGUGUAGCAGUGAAAUGCGUAGAGAUGUGGAGGAAUACCGAUGGCGAAGGCAGCCCCCUGGGCCAAUACUGACGCUCAUGCACGAAAAGCGUGGGGAGCAAACAGGAUUAGAUACCCCUGGUAGUCCACGCCCUAAACGAUGUCAACUAGUUGUUGGGGAUUCAUUUCCUUAGUAACGUAGCUAACGCGUGAAGUUGACCGCCUGGGGAGUACGUCGCAAGAUUAAAACUCAAAUGAAUUGNC
rnacentral:rRNA from 1 species